UUGCUGAUGUGUAGGAGUACUAUUAUAUAUUUGUAUGGGUAGUGUAGAGAGUGGUUGUUUCCUCGGGGGUGGUAGCUUUGGGAUCAGAGAACGAAUCCACAGUGGGGUGGUCUCCAUUUUGUAAUUAUUCUCUUGUUCCUUCCCUGGAGGCACACCCCACCCCCACCCCCUCUCUCUCUAUGUCACAGAAAAGGAUAAUUUUUUUUACUAUUGAAUUCAAAACUUAAAACGUCAGCAAAACUUUGGAUAUUUCUUUUUUCCUCGUCGCUGUAGAUUUUAUUAUUUUAGAAUAAGAUCUCAAUAUUUGAAUUGGCAGGACAUUUUCUUUCUAAAAACAUCCUCUUAAUUUCAAAUUGGUAAUAUGAUAUGAAUUUUUAUUAUUAUUCAAAAAAAAAAAAAUAGAUAAAAUGUUGGAGGAAGGGUACACAGUUUUGGGAUAGUUGAGCAUAUGAUGGGGACUUGCCAUCUAUUCUAUCUUGUUCCACAGCUGUCAAACCCGCCUCCCUCCCUCCAUUUAUUAAUGUGUGUCCCACUCUUUACUACCACCAUCCCUACUAGUAUAGUACUACUGCCAUUUUUAUUUUUGGAUAUCCUUUUACCAUCAUUUCCUCAUCAUCCAUUGGUUUGGGUUUUUUUCGUAAUACAUACUUCAAUUAAUAAGUUUGAAUCAUAUAUUAAUUAUAGUUAAUUUUAAAUAUAAGGUGAUUUUGCUUUACUUGGUCCAAAUUUAGGAGAAAUUAUUUUGACUAAUUAUGAAUUCAAUUCUUCAUUGCUAUAUAUUCACGUGAGCUAUGUAUACGACUUUUUCUGAUUUUGUUUGAACAUAAUAUAUUUUUGUGUGUUAAAAAGAUUAAAAAAAUAUUCAGCUGUUAUUAACAAAAAAAUGUGUUAUAGUAUACGAAUUUUGUGGUACAAGUCAAAAAUUCGUGAAACCAAUUUUAAAUGAACUAUUUCUUUGUUAAUUAUGAAUUGAUAUCUUUAUUGCUACUACACAUUGGAGUAUUAAAAACUGUUAAAAAAAUAAUAUGACCAUUUUAGCUAUUAUUAAUAUGCAUUUUUACACUCUCUCUGCCUGUAUGUACCAUAAAAAUUAAAAACCAAACACAACUCAUAAUGGUCUCAAGCCCAAAAAUGUUAACACUAAAACAACUAUUUAUGCAGGAACUAAUCAUGAAAAUUUUGGUUGGAAAAAAAAAAAAGAAUAAGAAAAAGAAAAAGAAAGAAAAAAUAGGAGCUCCAAAUUAGUUGAAUAAUGGUUAGCAAAAUGAGAAAGAACGAGGAGGAUCCAUCCAGUAUGUUUGGGGUUUGUCUUUUUGUGAUGCACCCAAAAGUUAAGAGGUUGUGUUUCCUUCCUUGUUCAGUUCGAGAGAGAGAAAAAGAAAGGGUGUAUUUCCAUAUAAGGAAAGGGGUGCCGCAGCUCUAUGGAAAAGGGAGCUACCGUGAGGACUAAUGGGUUUAACAUUUCCGACAAUAAAUUACUGCUGUCUUCCAACAGUGAUGAAAUUGUUAGAUUGAUGAAGCAGAAGCUACACCACCCCCACCCCCACCCCCAC